UACGUAGGGUGCAAGCGUUGUCCGGAAUUAUUGGGCGUAAAGAGCUCGUAGGCGGUCUGUCGCGUCGGACGUGAAAAUCCAGGGCUCAACCCUGGACCUGCGUUCGAUACGGGCAGACUAGAGUUCGGUAGGGGAGACUGGAAUUCCUGGUGUAGCGGUGAAAUGCGCAGAUAUCAGGAAGAACACCCGUGGCUAAGGCGGUUCUCUAGUACGGUACUGACGCUGAGACGCGAAAGCGUGGGGAGCGAACAGG
rnacentral:rRNA from 1 species